rnacentral:tRNA from 1 species
CCCCGUAGCUCAGUUGGUAGAGCAUGGUGUUUGCAAUGCCAGGGUUGUGGGUUCAAUUCCCACGGGGG